GAAUAAUCCAAUAGGACAGCACUCAGCUUGCAGCAAAGUGUUGAUCAGAAUCCACACAGGGCCUGCAGAAUAGGGGCUGGUGCCACCUGCAGAGAGUGGAGCCCAGAGAAGGGUAUGCUCAGGAGGAGGCCUGCUAGGAACAGAAGUCUUCCCAAGGCUGUGCAAGACUAUCAGGAACCUAUAAGACCCACGGUGAGAGUGGAGCUGCAUCUAAGGUCUUGCUACUGGAAUAUGGAAGGAGUGAUGGCUGACCUUUCUCCCACAACACAAGGCAACCCAGAGAAAACUUUGAUAUCAAAAUACGGAGGCCUGCCAGUGCCGGUGCCAGUGCCAGAGCUAGAGCCAGAGCUGAGAAGCAGAGCCCUGUCCAGACCACGGGCCUGGGAGAUGGAUGUGGCAUCAUCUUCCACUAGAGGGCCUGCCCCAGCCCCUAAGGCUGCUUCUUGUGCUAAGCCUCUAAAUUCUGCAGGGAUUUGUUUCUUGGCCUCCUAUGAGGCUGCUGGUUUUGUUUGCUUGCUCUGUUUUGUUUGUUUUGCCAAUGUGAGUGAAAAAUUUUAAACUGACUACAAAGCAGAAAUAAUACCAUAUAAUGAGCCUCAGAUGAAAGAAUUAUCAACAUUUUGACAAAUUUACAA
rnacentral:lncRNA from 1 species